GAUGAACGCUGGCGGCGUGCCUAAUACAUGCAAGUCGAGCGAACAGAUAAGGAGCUUGCUCCUUUGACGUUAGCGGCGGACGGAUGAGUAACACGUGGAUAACCUACCUAUAAGACUGGGAUAACUUCGGGAAACCGGAGCUAAUACCGGAUAACAUAUUGAACCGCAUGGUUCAAUAGUGAAAGGCGGCUUUGCUGUCACUUAUAGAUGGAUCCGCGCCGUAUUAGCUAGUUGGUAAGGUAACGGCUUACCAAGGCAACGAUACGUAGCCGACCUGAGAGGGUGAUCGGCCACACUGGAACUGAGACACGGUCCAGACUCCUACGGGAGGCAGCAGUAGGGAAUCUUCCGCAAAGGGCGAAAGCCUGACGGAGCAACGCCGCGUGAGUGAUGAAGGUCUUCGGAUCGUAAAACUCUGUUAUCAGGGAAGAACAAAUGUGUAAGUAACUGUGCACAUCUUGACGGUACCUGAUCAGAAAGCCACGGCUAACUACGUG
rnacentral:rRNA from 1 species